GAUGAAGAACGCAGCGAAAUGCGAUAAGUAAUGUGAAUUGCAGAAUUCAGUGAAUCAUCGAAUCUUUGAACGCACAUUGCGCCCGCCAGUAUUCUGGCGAGCAUGCCUGUUCGAGCGUCAUUUCAACCAUCAAGCCCCAGGCUUGUGUUGGAGCCCUGCGGCUGCCGCAGCCUCCCAAAACCAGUGGCGGGCUCGCUAUCACACCGAGUGCAGUAGUUUACUCUUCGCUCAGGGCGUGUGGCGGGUGCUAGCCGUGAAACCCCCAACUUCUCAAGGUUGACCUCGGAUCAGGUAGGGAUACCCGCUGAACUUAAGCAUAUCAAUAAGCGGAGGA
rnacentral:misc_RNA from 1 species